GAGGAUAUCAUCCUGAGUGAUCA
rnacentral:misc_RNA from 1 species